GACAGAGGGUGCAAACGUUGCUCGGAAUCACUGGGCGUAAAGGGCGUGUAGGCGGGAAGGAAAGUCAGAUGUGAAAUCCCUGGGCUCAACCCAGGAACUGCAUUUGAAACUCCCUUUCUUGAGUGUCGGAGAGGAAAGCGGAAUUCCUGGUGUAGAGGUGAAAAUUCGUAGAUAUCAGGAGGAACACCGGUGGCGAAGGCGGCUUUUCUGGACGACAACUGACGCUGAGACGCGAAAAGCGUGGGGGAGCAAAACAGG
rnacentral:rRNA from 1 species